rnacentral:tRNA from 1 species
CAAUAGCGCAACUGGAUAGAGUACUAGACUUCGAAUCUAGGGGUUGUGGGUUCGAGUCCUACUUGG